rnacentral:lncRNA from 10 species
UGAUCAGCUUGCCUAGGCCUCCCAAAAUGUUGAAAUUACAGGCAUGAGACACUGCGCCUGGCCUCCUCAUUAUACAUUCUUAUUCAAUGCUGUACUCCUCAUUCAUAGCAAUCCUCCCAAGUAUAAAUAAAUUACUUAUUAUAUAAAUGGUUGUCAUUUGUCUCCCUCAAAAAAUUAAGCUCCCUGAGGGAAAAGAACAUUCAUAAUAUUUAAUAUUUGUUAGAUGAACAAAUGGAUCAAUGCUUCUUAAAUUUAUUUUCUACACUGCCACUAACCUAAUCUUUCUAAAACAAAAACAGAGUCAUGUCACUUUACUGUAAAAAAUCCUUCAAUGGAAAAAAGAAAAAAAAAGGGAGGUCUACAGUGGAUUCCCACUGCCUUAAGCUAUUGAUUUUAUGUCUAAACUUCUUAGCAUGAAAGACAAGGUUUUCUAAGACCUGGUCUACUUACCUCUACAGCUUUGUUUCUUUAGCUGACUGCUCAAUAUCACUGCUCUCCCUCAACUUAACUGCAAAUAAAUUCAAUACUUCAGAAAUAACAAAGGAGGAAAAACACUCUUUUAAUAUUUUAUUAUGCUCAAAUAAUUUAAAAAUAUAUAAAUAAAAUGAUUAAAUAAAGCCCCAAACCUUUUUUCAAAUAAGCACCCUAAAUUAUCUAAAUCACCUAGGAUGCUUGUUUUCCUAAGAACCAAGGAAUAUUUCAGGUGAUUUAGUAUAAAGUAUAGCAUGCCCAGACAAGAUCCCAUAACAGGAGUUACUUACCUGGUGCUGCUUAUUUUGGAUAUCAGAAUUUUAAAGGAAAUGAGGUCCAUUUGGUUUAGGCAUCUAUAUAUAUAUCAGUACGUAGAGGACUAAAUGAGGGUUUAAAAGAAUUUGUUGAAUAUAACUGAACCAACUCUAAAAUGAAAAAUAUAUAAGAUGGAAUGAUGAUUAAAUGGAAAUGCUUAACUCAGUAAAUGAUCAGUUUCUUAUUUCUAAUGGACCCAAGUCUGCAAUUCAAAGUUGGGAAGAGGCAGACAGUAUGACAUGAAAUACUCUGUGUAUUAUAUCAAUUACACCUCAAGAGAAGAAUUUGACUUUGCAAAUUACAGAACUAGUAAGAAAACAUUUUUUUUCUUUCAUACGGGUUUAGUCUGUCCUUAAAAGGGGGCUUUGGGGGUAGAUAUUGGAUUCAACUGUUAUUUGUCAGACAAGUGAAAGAAUAAAGAGAAGUGUGUGACACAGUGGUGGAGAAGCCUUACCUGGGACCAAUCUGAAGUGCCUGUUGUGUUCUGCAGUAUCAUAAGUCGCCAGGGUCUCUCUGUCUGGCAUAGCCAUUCUCAUUCCCAAAGUGCUUCAGGGAUUUGGAUCAAAUCCAAAGACUAUUCUGCUUGUUCAUUCUGAACAGAUUAAUUCAGAUUUGGCUAAAGAUACUGCUGAGAAAAGAAGCGUGAAUCCUAAGGGAACAUCAACUUUCAUGACUAAAGAUAGAAUUACCUGAAAAGUACAUGGGGAGCUAUGGGCAGAGUUAGAAGUUUAUAUUCUUACAAAGAGAUCUAAACUUAAAGGAACAAGGACUGGGGAGAACUAUAACUGCCUAUGACAGUCAGUUUCUUACAUGGUUUUAUUUUAAACUAUGCAGAAAAAUUACACAGAAAUGGCUCUUUCGGCCAGGCACGGUGGCUCACGCCUGUAAUCUUGGCACUUUGGGAGGCCGAAGUGGGUGUAUCAUUUGAGCUCAGGAGUUCGAGACCAGCCUGGGCAACAUAGCGAAACCUUGUUUCUACAAAAAAUACAAAAAUUAGCCAGGUGUGGUGCACCUAUAGUUCCAGCUAUUUGGGAGGCUGAGGUGGGAGGAUCUCUUGGGCCCGGGAGUUUGAGGCUCCUGCAAGCCAAGAUACUGCCACUGCACUCCAGCCUGGGCAAGAGACCCUGUCUCAAAAGAAAAAGAAAUAGCUUUUUUUUCUCACCCUACAUUAUAAUUUUCAUCAGCCACCUCCAACCAAUCAGUAAAAUCUAAUAUAUCUGUGCAGUCUUCUGUGUAAUUAAUACGAUAAACAAAGGGGCAGAGCAGUAAAGAGAAAUGAGAAUUGUCCCACAUUUUCCCAUUUUUGGUACUCAUGAGAACAGAGAUGCUACCUCUCAGGGGUUUCGGACUAGCAAGGAGGAAAAAUUUUGCCCGUUAGUGGAGCUAGAGAUGAUGAAAAGAACUUGAUUUAGAGAAAAAUUGCUAGAUAGACAACUUGAGAGCACAUAAUAGAUUGUCUAGUGUAGUUCCUUGAAAUUGUGGCUCAGAGAAAUAAAAAUGACUCAGCUAAGUUUUCACAGCUGGUGGAUGACACAACCCAGAGCAGAUCCCAGUUUCCUUGCAAGUGGUCUGGAGCUGCCUUCCUACUUCUCUCAUAACUCAUAGGUUUGCUCCAACCUCUAGCUGUCAUUUGAUGGAAAGAGCACUAGAUCAGAGGACUUAGACUUAAGUCCUGACUAUGACACUUUCUAGAUUCAUGAUCUUGGUCAAUAUUGUAAUCUUUCUGUGCUCCAUUUUUCACAUCUUCAUCUUUUCCUCUAUCUCACAGAGGAAGUGUUUUAUACCAAAGGAUAACAAAGUAACAAAGAGAUUUCUGGAGGUUAAGUAAGUCAGGGUAUUUUGCCUCUUACACAAUGCUAUGGUGAAUUUUGGAGACUGUCAUUUAGAUGCCUUUGACUGUAAGUACCAGAAAGCCCUGACUCAAAAUGCCUGAAACAACGGAGGUAGGGCCACUCCAGCGUGGUUUGUCAGGAUUCCAACUCAGCUUCUUUGCAAUUCUCUUGAUUCUGUCCUUCUCCACAUUUUGGCUUCUUCCUCAGCUGGUAGCAUUUCUAGGUAUCACAUCCAGACAGAAUGAAGUGGAGAAGCUGAAAAGGUCUGAUUUUUCAGUGUUACCUACUUAAAAGUGGAGAAAUUUUUCCAGAAGCCUUCAUCCAACCCCUCCUCAUAUCUCUUUGGCCUAAAAAGGAUACCAUGGAACUAAGAUAAAUGGCUUAAAAUAAUCAGAAUACAUUUGCCUGAGUUGGGGAUGGAGCCAUUUCCUUAAACAUAGGUGGUAUGCUAAAGGGAUGGGUACUUGAGCAAAAUUAGUAGCAAGAGAUUCACAGAGUUCUGAUGUGGUGCUUUUCUCACUGUUCCAUCUUUGUCACUAGUCUUCUUUCUACAGCAGUGAAAUUACUCCAUUUUUGGUGGUGUGAACAGUUCACGCGCCUGCAAUCUUAGCUCAAUGCAAACAUGAGCUGUAGCUUUGAUUUGUUUCUAUGGUUUCAAAUCAUCACAAAUGACACCCGUGACGCAGCUUACUGUGAUGUAAUGCCUCCUGCUAAAACUCUGGUUGCAACACCCUCCUUGCCCAUCUUCCUUUAAGUAAUGCUAUCACAAAACUAGCAAUUCUGAUUUUGUGAGUUUUUUAAAUCACAAUUUUGAAAAGAUAGCCCCUUUAAGUGCUUGAUAUGUUUUUGACUAUGGUGAAGAGAAAAAGAAUUUGCAUUGGGUUGAUGGAAUCUUUAAAUGUUAUAGAGAAGAAAUGUGAGUUUUGAGUUUUAAGAAUAAAG